rnacentral:rRNA from 1 species
UACAGGGGGGGCAAGCGUUGUUCGGAAUUACUGGGCGUAAAGGGCUUGUAGGCGGCCAGGUAGGUCCGCUGUGAAAACUCGAGGCUCAACCUCGAGCUGUCGGUGGAAACCACAUGGCUAGAGUCCGGAAGAGGAGAGUGGAAUUCCUGGUGUAGCGGUGAAAUGCGCAGAUAUCAGGAAGAACACCAAUGGCGAAGGCGGGUCUCUGGGCCGAAAUUGACGCUGAGGAGCGAAAGCGUGGGGAGCGAACAGG